AUUGAACGCUGGCGGCAUGCCUUACACAUGCAAGUCGAACGGCAGCCCGGGAGCAAUCCUGGUGGCGAGUGGCGAACGGGAGAGUACUAUAGCGGAACGUGCCCAGUCGUGGGGGACAACGCCACGAAAGCCGUUAUAAUACCGCAUCCGAUCUACGGAUGAAAGCGGGGGACCGCAAGACCUCGCGCGAUUGGAGCGGCCGAAAUCAGAUGAGCUAGUUGGUGGGGUAAAAGCCCACCAAGGCGGGGAUCUGUAGCCGGUCUGAGAGGACGACCAGGCACACUGGAACUGAGACACGGUCCAGACUCCUACGGGAGGCAGCAGUGGGGAAUUUUGGACAAUGGGCGCAAGCCUGACCCAGCAAUGCCGCGUGCAGGAUGAAGGCCUUCGGGUUGUAAACUGCUUUUGUACGGAACGAAACGGCGAGCUCUAAUACAGUUUGCUAAUGACGGUACCGUAAGAAUAAGCACCGGCUAACUACGUGCCAGCCGCCGCCGUAA
rnacentral:rRNA from 1 species